CCCUCUUAAGAAUGGACAAACAUUUAUACUGUGAUUAUUUAGAGAUCAACAAAUAUAAAUAUGAACUGUAUUGUUUUUUUUAAUGUUCUUAUGUCGUUAUAAUAAAUCACACAUAUUUAUUUUUCUUCCUCUUUCAUAACAGCAGAUAAACCCAGGGCCACACUGACAGCAGGAACAACAAUCAUACCAGUAGGGGGCAGUGUGACACUGACCUGCUCUGUGCAGAGCUCUGAUGGAUGGAAAUAUGAGUGGUUCAGAGGAACCCAAACAACCUUUAUAGUUCAAAUCAGAGAUCAACAAAACAGAGAUAUCAGAGUAUCUCAAGGAGGAAUCUACAGCUGUUUCGGAACAAGAGGAAACCCAGUUUACGCCACUGAUAUAAGUGAUGAUGUCACCAUUGAGAUAACCUCACAGUUCAGGACUGAAACGUUUCCUACUCUGUUGAUCACUGGACUUCUUUGUGGAAUUUUACUGAUUCUUCUUUUUCUGCUGCUGUGUUACAUCAAACUGUUAAAAGAUAAAUCUUUUAUCAGGACUCAACACAUGAUCAACCAGGAUGAAGCUCAACACAGCCAAAA
ensembl:lncRNA